AAUUUGAGACCAGUAAGCUUAUUAGAACCGAGCUUGAUAAAUUGGGCAUCCCCUAUAAGUACCCAAUUGUUGUUACUGGUGUUGUUGGCUAUAUUGGCACUGGAAAGCCACCUUUUGUAGCAAUCAGAGCAGAUAUGGAUGCCUCAGCUAUACAGGAAGCCGUUGAGUGGGAGCAUAAAAGUAAAUUCCUGGAAAGAUGCAUGCUUGUGGACAUGAUGCGCAUGUUGCUAUGCUAUUGGGUGCAGCAAAGAUACUUUAGGAGCAUCAUGCUGAUUUAGAGGUUGACACUUUUGCUUUCUUUCCGUUUUGUUCCUUGCAAAUUGAUAAAUAAUAUUCCAAUCUAGAUGUAUUACUUUGUGUUUGAGCACAUACAAUUGUGAGGCAUUUUUAAAAGUACAUGCAUGAGAGCACAAAUUUUGGACUUUGUAGUCUUGGAAAAAAUAUAGAAUCAAUUUAAAGA